rnacentral:rRNA from 1 species
AGCGAACGCUGGCGGCAGGCUUAACACAUGCAAGUCGAACGCCCGGGCAACCGGGAGUGGCAGACGGGUGAGUAACACGUGGGAACAUACCCUUUGGUUCGGAAUAACUCAGGGAAACUUGAGCUAAUACCGGAUAAGCCCUAACGGGGAAAGAUUUAUCGCCGAAGGAUUGGCCCGCGUCCGAUUAGCUAGUUGGUGAGGUAACGGCUCACCAAGGCGACGAUCGGUAGCUGGUCUGAGAGGAUGAUCAGCCACACUGGGACUGAGACACGGCCCAGACUCCUACGGGAGGCAGCAGUGGGGAAUAUUGGACAAUGGGGGCAACCCUGAUCCAGCCAUGCCGCGUGAGUGAUGAAGGCCCUAGGGUUGUAAAGCUCUUUCGGCGGGGACGAUAAUGACGGUACCCGCAGAAGAAGCCCCGGCUAACUUCGUGCCAGCAGCCGCGGUAAU